rnacentral:rRNA from 1 species
AGAGUUUGAUCCUGGCUCAGAUUGAACGCUGGCGGCAUGCCUAACACAUGCAAGUCGAACGUGAAAGGGCUUCGGCCUGAGUAGAGUGGCGGACGGGUGAGUAACGCGUAGGAAUCUGCCUGGUAGUGGGGGACAACUCGGGGAAACUCGAGCUAAUACCGCAUACGCCCUACGGGGGAAAGCGGGGGAUCUUCGGACCUCGUGCUAUCAGAUGAGCCUGCGUUGGAUUAGCUAGUUGGUGGGGUAAAGGCCUACCAAGGCGACGAUCCAUAGCUGGUCUGAGAGGAUGAUCAGCCACACUGGGACUGAGACACGGCCCAGACUCCUACGGGAGGCAGCAGUGGGGAAUAUUGGACAAUGGGGGCAACCCUGAUCCAGCAAUGCCGCGUGUGUGAAGAAGGCCUCGGGUUGUAAAGCACUUUCAAUUGGGAAGAAAAGGGGUUGGCUAAUACCCGACCUUCUUGACGUUACCUUUAGAAGAAGCACCGGCUAACUCCGUGCCAGCAGCCGCGGUAAUACGGAGGGUGCGAGCGUUAAUCGGAAUUACUGGGCGUAAAGCGCACGUAGGCGGCGUGUUAAGUCAGAUGUGAAAGCCCUGGGCUCAACCUGGGAACUGCAUUUGAUACUGGCAUGCUCGAGUUUGGUAGAGGCAAGUGGAAUUCCGGGUGUAGCGGUGAAAUGCGUAGAGAUCCGGAGGAACAUCAGUGGCGAAGGCGACUUGCUGGACCAAAACUGACGCUGAGGUGCGAAAGCGUGGGUAGCAAACAGGAUUAGAUACCCUGGUAGUCCACGCCGUAAACGAUGUCAACUAGCUGUUGGGCUCAUUAAAGGGCUUAGUGGCGCAGCUAACGCGAUAAGUUGACCGCCUGGGGAGUACGGCCGCAAGGUUAAAACUCAAAGGAAUUGACGGGGGCCCGCACAAGCGGUGGAGCAUGUGGUUUAAUUCGAUGCAACGCGAAGAACCUUACCAGCCCUUGACAUCCUGCGAACUUUCUAGAGAUAGAUUGGUGCCUUCGGGAGCGCAGAGACAGGUGCUGCAUGGCUGUCGUCAGCUCGUGUCGUGAGAUGUUGGGUUAAGUCCCGUAACGAGCGCAACCCUUGCCCUUAGUUGCCAGCACGUAAAGGUGGGAACUCUAAGGGGACUGCCGGUGACAAACCGGAGGAAGGCGGGGAUGACGUCAAGUCAUCAUGGCCCUUAUGGGCUGGGCUACACACGUGCUACAAUGGCCAGUACAGAGGGUUGCCAAGCCGUGAGGUGGAGCUAAUCCCACAAAGCUGGUCUAGUCCGGAUUGCAGUCUGCAACUCGACUGCAUGAAGUCGGAAUCGCUAGUAAUCGCGAAUCAGCAUGUCGCGGUGAAUACGUUCCCGGGCCUUGUACACACCGCCCGUCACACCAUGGGAGUGGGUUGCAAAAGAAGUAGGUAGUCUAACCUUCGGGAGGACGCUUACCACUUUGUGAUUCAUGACUGGGGUUAAGUCGGAACAAGGUA